rnacentral:rRNA from 1 species
GAUGAACGCUGGCGGCGUGCCUAAUACAUGCAAGUCGAGCGAACAGACGAGGAGCUUGCUCCUUUGACGUUAGCGGCGGACGGGUGAGUAACACGUAGGUAACCUACCUAUAAGACUGGGAUAACUUCGGGAAACCGGAGCUAAUACCGGAUAAUAUUUCGAACCGCAUGGUUCGAUAGUGAAAGAUGGCUUUGCUAUCACUUAUAGAUGGACCUGCGCCGUAUUAGCUAGUUGGUAAGGUAACGGCUUACCAAGGCAACGAUACGUAGCCGACCUGGGAGGGUGUUCGGCCAAACUGGAACUGGGACACGGUCCAGACUCCUACGGGAGGCAGCAGUAGGGAAUCAUCCGCAAUGGGCGAAAGCCUGACGGAGCAACGCCGCGUGAGUGAUGAAGGUCUUCGGAUCGUAAAACUCUGUUAUUAGGGAAGAACAAACGUGCAAGUAACUGUGCACGUCUUGACGGUACCUAAUCAGAAAGCCACGGCUAACUACGUGCCAGCCGCCGCGGUAACAC